AGCCCCCCCUUUCUCCCCCUCCUCUAUAUCUGCAUCGGAAUGCAGAGCAAAGUUGGUGUGUGUGUGUGUUUUUUUUCUUCCUCAAGUUUUGAAUUCCUCCAUGAUUUUUCCCCCCUUCCCCUCUACUUCUAGAAAGGCGGCUUAGGAUAAUUAUUUCAGCUUUAUUGAGGGCAGAUUAGGAGAAGUCUGGAUGCUGCGUUUCAAUACGCGUACUACAUGCCUCGACAAUGUCC
rfam:Anolis carolinensis unplaced genomic scaffold chrTn0092, whole genome shotgun sequence.